rnacentral:rRNA from 1 species
CCUACGGGCGGCAGCAGUGAGGAAUAUUGGUCAAUGGACGAGAGUCUGAACCAGCCAAGUAGCGUGAAGGAUGACUGCCCUAUGGGUUGUAAACUUCUUUUAUAUGGGAAUAAAAUGUUCCACGUGUGGGAUUUUGUAUGUACCAUAUGAAUAAGGAUCGGCUAACUCCGUGCCAGCAGCCGCGGUAAUACGGAGGAUCCGAGCGUUAUCCGGAUUUAUUGGGUUUAAAGGGAGCGUAGGUGGAUUGUUAAGUCAGUUGUGAAAGUUUGCGGCUCAACCGUAAAAUUGCAGUUGAAACUGGCAGUCUUGAGUACAGUAGAGGUGGGCGGAAUUCGUGGUGUAGCGGUGAAAUGGUUAGAUAUCACGAAGAACUCCGAUUGCGAAGGCAGUUCACUGGACUGCAACUGACACUGAGGCUCGAAAGUGUGGGUAUCAAACAGGAUUAGAUACCCUAGUAGUC